rnacentral:rRNA from 1 species
GACGAACGCUGGCGGCGUGCAUAACACAUGCAAGUCGAACGGUAAGGCCCUUCGGGGUACACGAGUGGCGAACGGGUGAGUAACACGUGGGUGAUCUGCCCUGCACUUCGGGAUAAGCCUGGGAAACUGGGUCUAAUACCGGAUAGGACUCCUGGCUUCAUGGUUGGGGGUGGAAAGCUUUUGCGGUGUGGGAUGGGCCCGCGGCCUAUCAGCUUGUUGGUGGGGUAAUGGCCUACCAAGGCGACGACGGGUAGCCGGCCUGAGAGGGUGAGCGGUCACACUGGGACUGAGAUACGGCCCAGACUCCUACGGGAGGCAGCAGUGGGGAAUAUUGCACAAUGGGCGCAAGCCUGAUGCAGCGACGCCGCGUGAGGGAUGACGGCCUUCGGGUUGUAAACCUCUUUCAGCUAUGACGAAGCGCAAGUGACGGUAGUAGCAGAAGAAGGACCGGCCAACUACGUGCCAGCCGCCGCAGUAA